GUCUGUCGCUGAGUGUGUCUCUGUCAGUAAAUGUGUGUGUCUGUUAGCUAGUGUGUAUGCGUCUGUUCGUGAGAGUGUGUGUGUGUAUGUCUUUAGCAUUUACCUUUCUCCAGCGUCGGACUUCCUUGGCGCUGGGGAUCCCUCCGCCUCUCAGCUCCGAAUGCACAUGUGCGGCAAGAGGCGCAUGCGCAUUUAAACCGCCC